rnacentral:rRNA from 1 species
AGUGAACGCUGGCGGUAGGCCUAACACAUGCAAGUCGAACGGCAGCACAGUAAGAGCUUGCUCUUACGGGUGGCGAGUGGCGGACGGGUGAGGAAUACAUCGGAAUCUACUUUUUCGUGGGGGAUAACGUAGGGAAACUUACGCUAAUACCGCAUACGACCUACGGGUGAAAGCAGGGGAUCUUCGGACCUUGCGCGAUUGAAUGAGCCGAUGUCGGAUUAGCUAGUUGGCGGGGUGAAGGCCCACCAAGGCGACGAUCCGUAGCUGGUCUGAGAGGAUGAUCAGCCACACUGGAGCUGAGACACGGUCCAGACUCCUACGGGAGGCAGCAGUGGGGAAUAUUGGACAAAGGGCGCAAGCCUGAUCCAGCCAUACCGCGUGGGUGAAGAAGGCCUUCGGGUUGUAAAGCCCUUUUGUUGGGAAAGAAAAGCAGCAGGUUAAUACCCCGCUGUUCUGACGGUACCCAAAGAAUAAGCACCGGCUAACUUCGUG